GUGGUCGUCCGAGUUGUAAUUUAGAGAAGUGUUAUCCGCGCUGGACCGUGUACAAGUCUCCUGGAAUGGAGCGUCAUAGAGGGUGAGAAUCCCGUCUUUGACACGGACUGCCAGGGCAUUGUGAUGCGCUCUCAAAGAGUCGAGUUGUUUGGGAAUGCAGCUCAAAAUGGGUGGUAAAUUCCAUCUAAAGCUAAAUAUUGAGGAGAGACCGAUAGCGAACAAGUACCGUGAGGGAAAGAUGAAAAGAACUUUGGAAAGAGAGUUAAACAGUACGUGAAAUUGCUGAAAGGGAAACGCUUGAAGUCAGUCGCGUUGUUCAGGACUCAGCCUCGCUUUGCUUGGUGUACUUCCUGUUCGACGGGUCAGCAUCAAUUUUGGUCGGUGGAUAAAGGCUUAGAGAAUGUGGCAUCUUCGGAUGUGUUAUAGCUCUGGGUCGCAUACAUCGGCUGGGAUUGAGGAACUCAACACGCCGCAAGGCCGGGUACUUGUACCACGUACGUGUUUAGGAUGCUGGCAUAAUGGCUUUAAUCGACCCGUCUUGAAACACGGACCAAGGAGUCUAACAUGCCUGCGAGUG
rnacentral:rRNA from 1 species